GCGGUGUACAAAUUUUACGUGUCCAAUUGCACGGUGUACAUUUUUAUCGUGUCCAAAUUAAAUUUGUCCAGAAUUAAUUUUUCUUGUGUAUAAAAUUAUGUGGCCAAAAUUUCUUUGUCAAAAUGAACCGUGUCUAUUUAAAACGUGUACAUUAUUUUGUGUCCAUUUGCACCGUGUCUAUUUGUACUGUGUCUAAUUGUACUGUGCCCAAGUGAAGGCCACUCUUUAACUACAAAUUUAACUGUAAAAUAAAAUAAAUAUAAUUAAAUAUAAUGCUAUAUUAAUGCAAGAAGAAUGAAAAGUAAAAUAUGACGUGUCGUUCCAUUUUUGAGAAGUUGACUCGUAAUCAUUUUGUAGUCUUUUGUCUCAUGUAUGCCUCAUAAUUUACAAUUUACAAUAAAAUAAGUUAGGGAAUCAAAAAUAUAAAUAAAAGUUGAAUGGUUAAAAAUGUUGAAUAUGAUCUUUGUAAAUGUAUGAAGAAAAUUGUAUUACUUAUAAUAAAUUGUUUUGGGAACAACGAUUCUAUGCGAGUCGAAUAUGGGUAAGAUGCCUUAUCAGUAUAUUUCUAUACCUUAUCCAUAUUCGAUUUGCAUAGAAUCCAUAGCAGUUACUAAAUAGACUAAUAAGAGAUACAGAUAAUCCUUGGUAUUAUAAUAUAUUUAUAAACAUGUUUCCGAUAUUACAGCCUGUAACCACAUCAUCGGAAGACCAGCUAGGUGACUUUAUAAUCUGUAACUUUGUUGUAAUUUUGUUAUUUCAGACAAGAUUUCACGCUUUUUACCUAUUUCAAUAAUCUAAAAAAAAAAA